rnacentral:tRNA from 1 species
GGGCUGGGGCUCAGGGGUAGAGCACUCGCCUGGCUUGCGUGAGGCACUGGGUUCGAUCCUCAUCACCACA